AGUGAACGCUGGCGGUAGGCCUAACACAUGCAAGUCGAACGGCAGCACAGUAAGAGCUUGCUCUUACGGGUGGCGAGUGGCGGACGGGUGAGGAAUACAUCGGAAUCUACUUUUUCGUGGGGGAUAACGUAGGGAAACUUACGCUAAUACCGCAUACGACCUACGGGUGAAAGCAGGGGAUCUUCGGACCUUGCGCGAUUGAAUUAGCCGAUGUCGGAUUAGCUAGUUGGCGGGGUAAGGGCCCACCAAGGCGACGAUCCGUAGCUGGUCUGAGAGGAUGAUCAGCCACACUGGAACUGAGACACGGUCCAGACUCCUACGGGAGGCAGCAGUGGGGAAUAUUGGACAAUGGGCGCAAGCCUGAUCCAGCCAUACCGCGUGGGUGAAGAAGGCCUUCGGGUUGUAAAGCCCUUUUGUUGGGAAAGAAAAGCAGCAGGUUAAUACCCCGCUGUUCUGACGGUACCCAAAGAAUAAGCACCGGCUAACUUCGUG
rnacentral:rRNA from 1 species